UACGAAGGGGGCUAGCGUUGUUCGGAUUUACUGGGCGUAAAGCGCACGUAGGCGGAUUGUUAAGUCAGGGGUGAAAUCCCGGAGCUCAACUCCGGAACUGCCUUUGAUACUGGCAAUCUUGAGGCUGGAAGAGGUUAGUGGAAUUCCAGGUGUAGCGGUGAAAUGCGUAGAUAUCUGGAGGAACACCGGUGGCGAAGGCGGCAUCCUGGACCGGCAUUGACGCUGAGGCGCGAAAGCCAGGGGAGCAAACGGG
rnacentral:rRNA from 1 species